rnacentral:rRNA from 1 species
CGGACGGGUGAGUAACGCGUGGGCAACCUGCCCUGUACAGGGGGAUAACACUUAGAAAUAGGUGCUAAUACCGCAUGAGCGCACAAAGGCGCAUGCCUGUGUGCGGGAAGCCCGCGAGGGCGGUACGGGAUGGGCCCGCGUCUGAUUAGCCAGUUGGCAGGGUAACGGCCUACCAAAGCGACGAUCAGUAGCCGGCCUGAGAGGGUGGACGGCCACAUUGGGACUGAGACACGGCCCAAACUCCUACGGAAGGCAGCAG